AUAAAACCAGGAGGAGGAGGAGAAGGAGGAGGAGGAGGAGGAGGAACAUAGAGAACACAAGAAAACAAGACAACAACAACAACAAAGAAAACUAAACACAGAAAAAAUAGCUCAGAAAAAAAAGUUAACCAUAAAGAAAAACGUAAAGAAAACAGACAAAAGACAGAAGCAACGUAAAAAAUAAAGAAAGUAGAAAAAAGGAGGAGGAGGAGGAGGAGGAGGAGGAAAAAGAGGAAGGAGGAAGGACAAAACAAAACAAAACAAAAAACAAGAGGAAACCAGAGUAAAAACAAAAGAAAACAGAUCCAAUAUAUACGUGUGUGUGUGAUGAUAAUGGCGAUGUGUGAUACAAAUGCUAUAUACAUACUUCAUCUGCAUCCUUAUCCCUGCCUGCUUAAGAAUACACAGCUGCCACACGCCAUGCAGCAGACAAGCGUUCAGAGCAGAAGCGUGAGUGUCCGGGCCAAACAAGCGCCUACAUGCUAGAGGGACAGUCUGCUAGAGAGGGGGAGAGAGGGACGGGGGACGGAGGGAGGGAGAGAGGGCCUACUACAGUGCCAUUCCUUCAAAGAGAGUGCCGGGAGGGUGCCAGAAAGAUGGUGCCAGACAAGUAAGUGUGUGAGGUGCGAAGUGGAGAAGAGGGUCAAGAGGAAGUGGAGAGGUGGAUGAGGGGAAGGUAUGAAGAUGCGUGAUGAGGUGUGAGGUUGCCGUGGGUGGUGAUGGGGGCGUGAAGGUGCUAUUGAGGUGCAAGGUGGAGGUGCGUGGGGGGGUGUAGGAGGCAAGGUGAGGUGCCAAGUGCCAAGUCGGAUGUGAGGUGCCUGGGGGGGUUGCAUGGAGGAGUGGUGGUUGUGAGAGGGGGAGGAGGUGACGGGAUGUGAUGGGUGAUGGGAAUGACGGAGCAUGAUAACUAGGCGGUGCUUCAAGAGUGCCAGAGAGAGGUGCCAGGCUUGAGGUGAGGUGAGGUGAAAUGAGGUGCCAGAAGGAAGAGGAGGAGGAGGAGGAGGUGAAGGAAACUAAGAGGCUGUGUGAGUGCUUCGUGAGGUAUGAGGAGAAGGAAGAGGAAGAAGAAGAAGAGAAGUAGGAGUCAAGAACGUGCCAACACUUUCGUUCAUCAUCAGUCAAUCAGUGAAGUAACGUGAAUCGAGAGAAAAAAACAAAAACAAAACCACAAAUGAACGAGUAAUAACAUCAACUUGAACAUGGAGGUUGGUAAGUAAGUAAGUAGGUGAGUAUCAAGUAAAUAACAACAGCAACAACUGGUCGGUGGUGGUGGAGGUCUUUACAGCAGUUAUCCAUUGAAGGGGUGGCAGCAAGACGGGAUCGAGGGCAGUUAAGGCAUCGGGGUGGAAAGUCCGACUCUGCCUCACUGGAGAGUAAAACGACACCUGAGAGAGAGGACUGAGGAAGGAGGGAGUGAGCGAGGGAGUGAGGGAGUCAGAGUGUAUGUGUGUGUGCGUGUGUCAGGGAGGAGGAGGAGGAGAAGGAGGGAGGAGGUGCAGGUGGUAUAUUGUAAGUGGUGGUGAUUGUGGUGGUGGUGGUGCGAGAGGGUGGUGGAAGAGGUGGUUGGUGCGGUGAUGUAGUGGUGGUGGUGGUGGAGUAGUGGUGGUGGUGGUGCGGUGAGGAAGAGGUGGAAUAGUAGUGGUAGUAUAGUGGUAGAAGUAGUCGUGGAGGUGGUAAUAGAGUAGUGGAGUAGAGGUAGUAGUGAUAAGAGUAGUGGUGGAGUAGAGGUAGUGGUGACAGUAAUGGUGGUGGUGGUGGUAAUAGAGUAGUGAAGGAGUAGAGGUAGUGGUGACAGAGUAGUGGUGGGGUAGAGGUAGUGGUGACAGAGUAGUGGUGGGGUAGAGGUAGUGGUGACAGAGUAGUGGUGGGGUAGAGGUAGUGGUGACAGAGUAGUGGUGGGAUAGAGGUAGUGGUGAUAUGUAGUGGUAGGGUAGAGAUAGUGGUGACAGAGUAGUGGUGGGAUAGAGGUAGUGGUGAUAUGUAGUGGUGGGAUAGAGGUAGUGGUGAUAUAUAGUGGUGGGAUAGAGGUAGUGAUGAUAGAGUAGUGGUGGGGUAAAGGUAGUGGUGAUAAGAGUAGUGGUGGGGUAGAGGUAGUGGUGACAGAGUAGUGGUGGGGUAGAAGUAGUGGUGAUAAGAGUAGUGGUGGAGUAGAGAUAGUGGUGACAGUAGUGGUGGAGUAGAGGUAGUGAUGAUCGAGUAAUGGUGGGGUAGAGGUAGUGGUGACAGAGUAGUGGUGGGAUAGAUGUAGUGGUGAUAUGUAGUGGUAGGGUAGAGGUAGUCGUGACAGAGUAGUGGUGGGAUAGAGGUAAUGGUGAUAUGUAGUGGUGGGAUAGAGGUAGUGGUGAUAUGUAGUGGUGGGGUAGAGGUAGUGGUGGCAGAGUAGUGGUGGAGUAGAGAUAGUGGUGACAGUAGUGGUGGAGUAGAGGUAGUGAUGAUAGAGUAGUGGUGGGGUAGAGGUAGUGGUGAUAAGAGUAGUGGUGGGGUAGAGGUAGUGGUGACAGAGUAGUGGUGGGGUAGAGGUAAUGGUGACAGAGUAGUGGUGGGGUAGAGGUAGUGGUGACAGAGUAGUGGUGGGGUAGAGGUAGUGGUGACAGAGUAGUGGUGGGGUAGAGGUAGUGGUGACAGAGUAGUGGUGGGGUAGAGGUAGUGGUGAGAGAGUAGUGGUGGGGUAGAGGUAGUGAUGACAGAGUAGUGAUGGGGUAGAGGUAGUGGUGAUAAGAGUA